rnacentral:rRNA from 1 species
ACGAACGCUGGCGGCGUGCCUAAUACAUGCAAGUAGAACGCUGAAGGAGGAGCUUGCUUCUCUGGAUGAGUUGCGAACGGGUGAGUAACGCGUAGGUAACCUGCCUGGUAGCGGGGGAUAACUAUUGGAAACGAUAGCUAAUACCGCAUAAUAGUAGAUGUUGCACGACAUUUGCUUAAAAGGUGCAAUUGCAUCACUACCAGAUGGACCUGCGUUGUAUUAGCUAGUUGGUGGGGUAACGGCUCACCAAGGCGACGAUACAUAGCCGACCUGAGAGGGUGAUCGGCCACACUGGGACUGAGACACGGCCCAGACUCCUACGGGAGGCAGCAGUAGGGAAUCUUCGGCAAUGGACGGAAGUCUGACCGAGCAACGCCGCGUGAGUGAAGAAGGUUUUCGGAUCGUAAAGCUCUGUUGUAAGAGAAGAACGAGUGUGAGAGUGGAAAGUUCACACUGUGACGGUAUCUUACCAGAAAGGGACGGCUAACUACGUG